UCAUAUGAUAAAUCAUAUUUGAAAAUCACUCUUCCAAUGUUUGAUUGCAGUGAAUUUUUAGACCGUGUUGUUGCUGCUACACUGACUUUUGAAAUCUUAACAAGAGAAAACUUCUAACUAAUUUCCCGACAUUACUCCCUCAGUUUUUCCCAUUAAUGCUAAAGCUCAUGAAAUGUAGAGAAAUCAGAAAAAUCGUUUCUAAGUGGGCUUCUAGCAUUGAUGUCUCUUGGAUCAUUUGUUCAGCUUAUUUCCAUCUCUCGUUGACUUACUAA